AAUGUUCGGCAAAGUUAGAUUUACAAAUAAGUCAACAUGACCGAAAUGGUCAGUUGACCCCUUUAGGAGUUAUUGCCCUUUAUAGUCAAUUUUUAACCAUUUUUCAUAAAUCUAAGUAAUCUUUUACAAAAAUCUUCUCUGAAACUACUGGGCCAAAUUAAUCCAAACUUGGCCACAAUCAUCUUUGGGGUAUCUAGUUUAAAAAAUGUGUGGCGUGACCGGUCAAACCAACCAAGAUGGCCGCCACGGCUAAAAAUAGAACAUAGGGGUAAAAUGCAGUUUUUGGCUUAUAACUCAAAAACCAAAGCAUUUAGAGGAAAUCUGAUGUGGGGUAAAAAUGUUUAUCAGGUCAAGAUCUAUCUGCCCUGAAAUUUUCAGAUGAAUCGGUCAACCUGUUGUUGGGUUGCUGCCCCUGAAUUGGUAAUUUUGAGGAAAUUUUGCCGUUUUUGGUUAUUAUCUUGAAUAUUAUUAUAGAUAGAGAUAAACUGUAAACAGCAAUAAUGUUCAGCAAAGUUAGAUUUACAAAUAAGUCAACAUGACCGAAAUGGUCAGUUGACCCCUUAAGGAGUUAUUGCCCUUUAUAGUCAUUUUUUAACCAUUUUUCAUAAAUCUAAGUAAUCUUUUACAAAAAUCUUCUCCUCUGAAACUACUGGGCCAAAUUAAUCCAAAGUUGGCCACAAUCAUCUUUGGGGUAUCUAGUUUAAAAAAUGUGUGGGGUGACCCGGUCAACCAACCAAGAUGGCCGCCACGGCUAAAAAUAGAACAUAGGGGUAAAAUGCAGUUUUUGGCUUAUAACUCAAAAACCAAAACAUUUAGAGGAAAUCUGACAUGGAGUAAAAAUGUUUAUCAGGUCAAGAUCUAUCUGCCCUGAAAUUUUCAGAUGAAUCGGUCAACCUGUUGUUGGGUUGCUGCCCCUGAAUUGAUAAUUUUGAGGAAAUUUUGCUGUUUUUGGUUAUUAUCUUGAAUAUUAUUAUAGAUAGAGAUAAACUGUAAACAGCAAUAAUGUUCAUCAAAGUAAGAUUUACAAAUAAGUGUCAUGACCGAAAUGGUCAGUUGACCCCUUUAGGAGUUAUUGCCCUUUAUAGUCAAUUUUUAACCAUUUUUCGUAAAUCUUAGUUAUCUUUUACAAAAAAU
rnacentral:lncRNA from 1 species